rnacentral:rRNA from 1 species
CCUACGGGAGGCAGCAGUGAGGAAUAUUGGUCAAUGGGCUUACGCCUGAACCAGCCAAGUCGCGUGAGGGAAGACUGCCCUAUGGGUUGUAAACCUCUUUUGUCAGGGAGCAAAAGACGCCACGCGUGGCGUUCCGAGAGUACCCGAAGAAAAAGCAUCGGCUAACUCCGUGCCAGCAGCCGCGGUAAUACGGAGGAUGCGAGCGUUAUCCGGAUUUCUUGGGUUUAAAGGGUGCGCAGGCGGAAGAUCAAGUCAGCGGUAAAAUUGAGAGGCUCAACCUCUUCGAGCCGUUGAAACUGGUUUUCUUGAGUGAGCGAGAAGUAUGCGGAAGGCGUGGUGUAGCGGUGAAAUGCAUAGAUAUCACGCAGAACUCCGAUUGCGAAGGCAGCAUACCGGCGCUCAACUGACGCUCAUGCACGAAAGUGUGGGUAUCGAACAGGAUUAGAUACCCCAGUAGUC